rnacentral:lncRNA from 1 species
GUCCUCGGCCUGCUUCCCGGACUGCUUCCUCUCGGCCAUGGCGCGGGGGCUCGGGGGCUCGGGGGAGGGAGCUCUCCGUCAGUCCGUCCGUCCGUCUACCGGUCGCUAAAUCUCCCUCUCUGUGCAAAAAUCCCCUGGUUGCUACAGCGACUGUCGCUUUCUGCCCACCGCAAGGUGUACAGAAAGGAAGGAGGGCUCUCGAGCGGGCGUCCCACCCCUCGCAGUCCCUCCCCCUGACCCGGCUUUCUCCCCCUCUCUGCCCACGCCCCCCGCAGCCGCGCGAGCUCCGACGAGCCGCGAAGUUCGGCCCGGGAGGCGGCCGCUGCGGCAGCGGGAGCCGAGUGGCUGCCAGUUCCCGAAAGCGGGGGUACGAGGGGAGGCGCGGGCGGGGCGCGGGGCCGGGGCGGGGAGGCGGGGGAGGGCCGCGCCGCGCACAGCCCCGCGCUCCGGAAGUGAAGCGGCCAGACCCCCGGCUAAUGGAUGCGGAGCGGAGGACCCGCUGGCCGCUCGCGGGCGCCUGGGCAGCGUGGUUGGAGCUAAGACUAAGACACACCAUCGUUGGAGAUGAGUGACACCUUCCUGUGCUAGAAGCAGGAUAAAUAAGCUUUUUGACUCAUGGAACAUUCUGGGACACAGCAACAGGUAUC